AUAUUUACCUGGGGGGGCAUAACAUGAUCACAAAGGUGGUUUCUCCUGGGCAAGGCUCAUCCAUUGCAUGGUGGAUGGGCUACCUCUGUGAUUUCCUCAAAUGUGGAAAACUCCAUUGUGUAAUUCAUGAUAGUGUGUUUGUGCCUU
rnacentral:snRNA from 1 species